ACUUGAGUAUCCUCACAUUGUCUGCUGAGAAAGUGCAGAGAAAAUAGUUUUCCUGGGUGGUCCGACUCAUUAUACACUCUGCACUUCUUGAUUUACGGCUCACAGUUCAACUGCUGCCAAUUAACAUGAAAACACGCAACAAGGAGGGAAAAAAAGGAAAAUAUAGAGAAGGAGGAGGAGGAGGAGGAGGCCUCCGAGUUUCCUUCUGCUGGCACAAAACUGAGUCAGGAUGAACCUGCCCUCCACGUCAAGAGAAAAGGUGUUGUUGUUUGUUGAGAAGGCCUCGGUUCACCAUCAGGGUCACAUGAGCCAACGCUGCAUCCCGGCCUUCAGGACACAAACCCGGAGCACACGCCUGAAUAUCACUGCGAAGAGGCUUUUCGUGGAUGUUAGAUUUACAGUGCGGCAGAGAAGAGCAGGGACCAGCGAGGAAAUCAUUUGACUCAUCUUCUCAAGGUCCCUGAAGUCUCCACAGGGCCUUGUCCUUGUAGCACAAGACUGCUGAUGCCACGCAGCGCACUGAGAGGACUGCGCACGGAUAAAUAUUUGAGUAUGUGUGAGUGGCGAAAGCGAGAUGACUCUCAGCCUGUCACUUGUGUUUGGAGUCUUGGCAUCAAGCAGAGACCUGCUCAGUGACACCCGGUAACUCAAGCAAUGACAUCAACACACACACACACACAUAUACUUUCCUUCUGCACCACCCCUCUUCUGUGUGUCGCACAAACACACACACACAAACACACAAACAGCCCUGUCAGCUAACUCCUGUCAGAGGCAUCACCCUCUAGGUACACUGGUGAGCUUUGUGCACACAGUGAUCAGGCAGCUCGCCAGCUCUGCCUUCUCCUGCCUCUACCUAGACGACUCCCUUCAUCCUAAUCAGCUCUGUCAGGAUGGCAUUUGACAUAAGCCAUCAAUAAAGCACAGCUGACAGACAUUAAAGAGUCCAGAAAUCCAGGAUAUCCACAGCCUGGACUCCUCAUAGUGGAGACAUCUUCUAAAUCUGAGUUGGUGCUCCAUUUUAAACCAGCAGGCAGAUUAUUACAUACAAGUUUAGGCCCUAAUAGUUGUCAUAUAUACAAUUUCAUCCAAAUCUUCAAGCAGAUU